rnacentral:rRNA from 1 species
AGAGUUUGAUCAUGGCUCAGAACGAACGCUGGCGGCGUGGAUAAGACAUGCAAGUCGGACGAGAUUUUUCGCUGUAGCAAUACGGUGGAAAGUUUAGUGGCGAACGGGUGCUUAACACGUGGGCAACCUGCCGAGAAGUGGGGGAUAGCUCGCCGAAAGGCGAAUUAAUACCGCAUGUGAUUAGAAAGGACAUCCUUUCGAACUUAAAGUCGGGGCAACCUGACGCUUUUUGUGGGGCCCGCGGCCUAUCAGCUAGUUGGUGAGGUAACGGCUCACCAAGGCUUUGACGGGUAGCUGGUCUGAGAGGACGACCAGCCACACUGGGACUGAGACACGGCCCAGACACCUACGGGUGGCAGCAGUCGAGAAUUUUUGACAAUGGGGGAAACCCUGAUCGAGCGACGCCGCGUGGAGGAUGAAGGUCUUCGGAUUGUAAACUCCUGUCAUUGGGGAACAAGGUGCACACGUUAACUGCGUGUGCAUUGAUAGUACUCGAAGAGGAAGAGACGGCUAACUCUGUGCCAGCAGCCGCGGUAAUACAGAGGUCUCAAGCGUUGUUCGGAUUCAUUGGGCGUAAAGGGUGCGUAGGCGGCGCGGUAAGUCGGGUGUGAAAUCUCGGGGCUUAACUCCGAAACUGCAUUCGAUACUGCCGUGAUUGAGGACUGGAGAGGAGACUGGAAUUUACGGUGUAGCGGUGAAAUGCGUAGAUAUCGUAAGGAAGACCAGUGGCGAAGGCGGGUCUCUGGACAGUUCCUGACGCUGAGGCACGAAGGCCAGGGGAGCAAACGGGAUUAGAUACCCUAGUAGUCC